rnacentral:tRNA from 2 species
AAAAUCCGUCGACUUUAUAAGUCGUGAGGGUUCAAGUCCCU